AAUUCUCAUACUAAAUAUUAUUUAGUUUAAUUUCUUAUGGAUAAUUAUUAUUUAGUUUAUCUCCUUCUCAUUUAUAAUAUUAUUUAUUUAACUAAUAGAGUAAAUUACGACUUUGGCCCCUGUGGUUAUAUCACUUUUACUCUUUUAGCCCCAAAAGAAUUUUUAACAUCUGAGCCCCCAACGUCUUUUUUCUAAUCUUUUUGGCCCCUAACGUCUUUUUUCUAACCCUUUUGACCCCUAACAUUUAAUGGAUGGGGUUAGUUUUAGGGGCCAACUCUGGACAGGCGGUGGAAACUACCAAGCUGGAGUACGGUAGGGGCAGAGGGAAUUUCCGGUGGAGCGGUGAAAUGCGCAGAGAUCGGAAAGAACACCAACGACGAAAGCACUCUGCUGGGCCGACACUCACACUGAGAGACGAAAGCUAGGGGAGCGAACGGGAUUAGAUACCCCAGUAGUCCUAGCCGUAAAAGAUGGAUACUAGGUGUUGUGCGUAUCGACCCGUGCAGUGCUGUAGCUAACGCGUUAAGUAUCCCGCCUGGG
rnacentral:lncRNA from 1 species